rnacentral:lncRNA from 1 species
AUGGAUAUGAAAAUUCAAAAGUGAGUACCGAUAUCUCUUAAAGUACAUUUUUUUGCAAAAAAAAUGGAAAUGGGGAAUGUUUAUCUUUAUUUAGAUAAAGUACCAUAUAACAUGUAUAAGAUAAAGUAUGUAAAAUCUUAAAUCCAGUAUACUAGACAUUACAUCAGUACAUACAUAAUGCAAAUCAGAAUAAGAAUGCAUAACAAUUGAACCUUUAAACAUUAUUAGAUCUAUAACUAGUUUAAAAAAAAUAUAAAAAAACAGAUAAUGCACACAAAAAUAUUAAUGAGAGCAUGUACUCCAGAUAUACCAGAAGGGUUUUAAUAUCCCACUACAAACAUGACAAAUGUUUAUGAAGUCCUCAGAGUUCUGAAUGUGAAUCCUCUAAAAAAUGAUAUUAAACUUCAAAUAUGUGUACUUGAAAAAUGUUUUACUACAUACAUGAUAUACAUGUAUAUAAUAUUCAAAUUCAUCUUAUUCUAAUAUAAUUAAUUGAAAACAUUUUCAAGUAAAAAACUGAUGUAUAAAUGUAUAACUUGACUAUUCCAUUAAUUUAUUUCAGGUGACUGAGCUAAAAGAAAAACACACAUGAAACUGUAACCAGUUUGGGAGACGCAAAGUGACCAACAGAACAUUUCAAUACCUUUUUAGUUUUUUUAUGUAUAUAUUUGACUUUUGGUGGUAUUUGGGCAGUUACUAAAGUAACUGAGAGACCUCAAUGUUGAAAACGUCAAGUUUGAUAGAGCACAAUUUUAAAAUUUCAAUUUUAUUGUUUAUGGAUCUAUAUCUUUAGAAGCUUAAUGGGUAUCUGAAAGAAUAUUUCAAAGUUUUCUGAAUCUAUAUAGAUAUUUAUCAUGUUUCAUGUGUUUAUAGGCAAAUAUUCAUAUAUCUUUUUUUUUAUUUUAAGCAAGGGUAUUUAUGAAUUAAAAAAAAUUGUAUAUGUAAAAUUGAGAAAGGAAACGGGGAAUAUGUCAAAGCGCCAACAACCCAACCAUAGAGCAGACAACAGCUGAAGGCCACCAAUGGGUCCUCAAUGUAGAGAGAAACUCCUGUACCUUGUUGAUAAAAAAAAUCAAAAUUAUUACAGAGUCACAAAUCAAUUUAUUAAAAACAAAAUCUAUUAAAAGGGAAAAAAGUAAAAAGUUGUGUUUUUCAUAAUGAUUGUGUCAAUAUUUCUGUGUUAUUCAGAAACAUGUG